UACGUAGGGCGCAAGCGUUGUCCGGAAUUAUUGGGCGUAAAGAGCUCGUAGGCGGUCUGUUACGUCCGCUGUGAAAACCCAGGGCUUAACCCUGGGCUUGCAGUGGAUACGGGUAGACUAGAGGCAGGUAGGGGAGAAUGGAAUUCCUGGUGUAGCGGUGAAAUGCGCAGAUAUCAGGAGGAACACCGAUGGCGAAGGCAGGUCUCUGGGCCAUAACUGACGCUGAGAAGCGAAAGCAUGGGGAGCGAACAGG
rnacentral:rRNA from 1 species